AUUGAACGCUGGCGGCAUGCUUUACACAUGCAAGUCGAACGGCAGCGCGGGGCAACCUGGCGGCGAGUGGCGAACGGGUGAGUAAUAUAUCGGAACGUACCCAGAAGUGGGGGAUAACGUAGCGAAAGUUACGCUAAUACCGCAUACGAUCUACGGAUGAAAGUAGGGGACCGCAAGGCCUUAUGCUUUUGGAGCGGCCGAUAUCUGAUUAGCUAGUUGGUGAGGUAAAGGCUCACCAAGGCGACGAUCAGUAGCUGGUCUGAGAGGACGACCAGCCACACUGGAACUGAGACACGGUCCAGACUCCUACGGGAGGUAGCAGUGGGGAAUUUUGGACAAUGGGCGCAAGCCUGAUCCAGCAAUGCCGCGUGAGUGAAGAAGGCCUUCGGGUUGUAAAGCUCUUUUGUCAGGGAAGAAACGGUAGAGGCUAAUAUCCUUUGCUAAUGACGGUACCUGAAGAAUAAGCACCGGCUAACUACGUG
rnacentral:rRNA from 1 species